rnacentral:rRNA from 1 species
CCUACGGGAGGCAGCAGUAGGGAAUCUUCCACAAUGGGCGAAAGCCUGAUGGAGCAACGCCGCGUGGGUGAAGAAGGUCUUCGGAUCGUAAAACCCUGUUGUUAGAGAAGAAAGUGCGUGAGAGUAACUGUUCACGUUUCGACGGUAUCUAACCAGAAAGCCACGGCUAACUACGUCCCAGCAGCCGCGGUAAUACGUAGGUGGCAAGCGUUAUCCGGAUUUAUUGGGCGUAAAGGGAACGCAGGCGGUCUUUUAAGUCUGAUGUGAAAGCCUUCGGCUUAACCGGAGUAGUGCAUUGGAAACUGGGAGACUUGAGUGCAGAAGAGGAGAGUGGAACUCCAUGUGUAGCGGUGAAAUGCGUAGAUAUAUGGAAGAACACCAGUGGCGAAAGCGGCUCUCUGGUCUGUAACUGACGCUGAGGUUCGAAAGCGUGGGUAGCAAACAGGAUUAGAUACCCUAGUAGUC